AGUAGAGCCAACAGAAUGUCGUAAGACUGACACGGACAUGGAUCGAGAACCUAGCAACGGACAUAUACAGAAAAGGGGAUGCUACACGAAAGAAGAAAUCGUAAGCUAUUGUAAAAGGUAUGAAAACGUAUGUCACAAAACUGGAUGGUGGAUGAAAAAGUGUAAAGUAUAUAGAACCCAAUGUGCGG